GGUAGACUACUUUCGGGUAGUUGAGAGUGGCGCACGGGUGCGUAACGCGUAUGCAACCUACCUUGUACAGGGGGAUAGCCCGGAGAAAUUCGGAUUAAUACCCCAUAGCAUUACCAGAUGGCAUCUGAAGGUAAUUAAAGAUUUAUCGGUACAAGAUGGGCAUGCGUGACAUUAGUUAGUUGGUAGGGUAACGGCCUACCAAGACUAUGAUGUCUAGGGGUUCUGAGAGGAUGAUCCCCCACACUGGUACUGAGAUACGGACCAGACUCCUACGGGAGGCAGCAGUAGGGAAUAUUGGUCAAUGGGCGAGAGCCUGAACCAGCCAUGCCGCGUGCAGGAAGACGGCCUUCUGGGUUGUAAACUGCUUUUAUACGGGAAGAAAAGACCCUUGCGAGGGAGAUUGCCGGUACCGUAUGAAUAAACACCGGCUAACUCCGUGCCAGCAGCCGCGGUAAUACAGAGGGUGCAAGCGUUGUCCGGAUUUAUUGGGUUUAAAGGGUGCGUAGGCGGGCCUUUAAGUCAGUGGUGAAAGCCUGCAGCUUAACUGUAGAACUGCCAUUGAUACUGGAGGCCUUGAGUGUACUACAGGAAGGCGGAAUUUAUGGUGUAGCGGUGAAAUGCAUAGAUACCAUAAAGAACACCGAUAGCGUAGGCAGCUUACUGGAGUACAACUGACGCUGAGGCACCAAAGCAUGGGGAGCGAACAGGAUUAGAUACCCUGGUAUUCCAUGCCGUAAACGAAGAUUACUCAAUGUUGGCGAAACACCUGUCGCGACCCAGCGAAAGCGUUAAGUAAUCCACCUGGGGAGUA
rnacentral:rRNA from 1 species